rnacentral:rRNA from 1 species
UACGUAGGGAGCAAGCGUUGUCCGGAAUCAUUGGGCGUAAAGAGCUUGUAGGCGGUCUGUCGCGUCUGCUGUGAAAAUCCGGGGCUCAACCCCGGACUUGCAGUGGGUACGGGCAGACUAGAGUGUGGUAGGGGAGACUGGAAUUCCUGGUGUAGCGGUGAAAUGCGCAGAUAUCAGGAGGAACACCGAUGGCGAAGGCAGGUCUCUGGGCCACUACUGACGCUGAGAAGCGAAAGCAUGGGGAGCGAACAGG